GGUCGCUUAGUUCAGUUGGUUAGAACGCUGCAUUCACAUUGCAGAGCUCGGUGGUUCGAGUCCACCAGCGACCA
rfam:Candidatus Magasanikbacteria bacterium RIFOXYD2_FTLL_41_14 rifoxyd2_full_scaffold_147, whole genome shotgun sequence.